rnacentral:rRNA from 1 species
UACGUAGGGUGCGAGCGUUAAUCGGAAUUACUGGGCGUAAAGCGUGCGCAGGCGGUUUGUUGGGUCGGCGGUGAAAGCCCCGGGCUCAACCUGGGAAUGGCCGUUGAAACUGGCGAACUGGAGUGUGGCAGAGGGGGGUGGAAUUCCGCGUGUAGCAGUGAAAUGGGUAGAGAUGCGGAGGAACACCGAUGGCGAAGGCAGCCCCCUGGGCUGACACUGACGCUCAGGCACGAAAGCGUGGGGAGCAAACAGG